AUACGUAGGGGGCAAGCGUUAUCCGGAUUUACUGGGUGUAAAGGGAGCGCAGGCGGUUCGGCAAGUCUGAUGUGAAAACCCGGGGCCCAACCCCGGGACUGCAUUGGAAACUGUCGGACUGGAGUGUGGGAGAGGCAGGCGGAAUUCCUAGUGUAGCGGUGAAAUGCGUAGAUAUUAGGAGGAACACCAGUGGCGAAGGCGGCCUGCUGGACCAAGACUGACGCUGAGGCUCGAAAGCGUGGGGAGC
rnacentral:rRNA from 1 species